rnacentral:rRNA from 1 species
UACGGAGGGUGCGAGCGUUAAUCGGAAUUACUGGGCGUAAAGCGUACGCAGGCGGAUUGUUAAGCGAGAUGUGAAAUCCCGGGGCUCAACCUCGGAACUGCAUUUCGAACUGGCAGUCUAGAGUUCGAGAGAGGUGAGUGGAAUUCCGAGUGUAGAGGUGAAAUUCGUAGAUAUUUGGAGGAACACCAGUGGCGAAGGCGGCCACCUGGACAAAUACUGACGCUGAGGCACGAAAGCGUGGGGAGCGAACAGG